CUUCAAUCAGCUCUAUAAGAUGCGGCCUUCAUUUCAGAUUGGGGAAUUAGGUUAAAAGCCUAAGCUGCCCCCGCAACGGUAAGCAACAGAGAGACUUUGUUGUAAGCCCGAUUACCAGUCUGAAUCGAAAUUAUCAU
rnacentral:ncRNA from 1 species